ACUCCUACGGGAGGCAGCAGUGGGGAAUAUUGGACAAUGGGGCACCGUAGCAUCCAGCGAUGCGCGUGAGUGAUGAAGGCCCUAGGGUUGUAAAGCUCUUUCAGUCGUGAAGAUAAUGACGGUAGCGACAGAAGAAGCCCCGGCUAACUCCGUGCCAGCAGCCGCGGUAAUACGGAGGGCGUAGCGUUGUUCGGAAUUACUGGGCGUAAAGCGCGCGUAGGCGGACCGGAAAGUU
rnacentral:rRNA from 1 species